rnacentral:rRNA from 1 species
UACGAAGGGUGCAAGCGUUAAUCGGAAUUACUGGGCGUAAAGGGUUUGUAGGUGGCCAACUAAGUCAGACGUGAAAUCCCUCAGCUUAACUGGGGAACUGCGUCUGAUACUGGUUGGCUUGAGUGCAGGAGAGGAAUGCGGAAUUCCAGGUGUAGCGGUGAAAUGCGUAGAUAUCUGGAGGAACACCGGUGGCGAAGGCGGCAUUCUGGACUGCAACUGACACUGAAGAACGAAAGCCAGGGGAGCAAACGGG